AACGGGUUGUAGCUGUCCUUCGUAAGGAGGUACGUGCACGCCUUGCUCAUCCACUCUCAAACCCCUGUGCACUUUUUGUAGGCUUGGUGGGAUAGGCUGACUUCGGUCGGCUUUGAAUGCCUCGCCUAUGUAUUAAAACAAACGCUUCAGUUUAGAAUGUAACCUUGCAUAAUAAGCAAAUAAAUACAACUUUCAGCAACGGAUCUCUUGGCUCUCGCAUCGAUGAAGAACGCAGCGAAAUGCGAUAAGUAAUGUGAAUUGCAGAAUUCAGUGAAUCAUCGAAUCUUUGAACGCACCUUGCGCUCCUUGGUAUUCCGAGGAGCAUGCCUGUUUGAGUGUCAUGGUAUCAUCAACCUUCAACACUUUUGUGUCUGUAGGCUUGGACUUGGAGGUCGUGUCGGCGUUCGCGUCGGCUCCUCUGAAAUGCAUUAGCGUGAAUCUUACGAAUCGCCCUCGGUGUGAUAAUUUCUACGCCGUAGACGUGCAGUAUAUAGUGUUCGUGCUUACAACCGUCUGCAAAGACAACAUCAUUGACAAUCUGACCUCAAAUCAGGUAGGACUACCCGCUGAACUUAAGCAUAUCAAUAAGCGGAGGAAAAGAAACUAACAAGGAUUCCCCUAGUAACUGCGAGUGAAGCGGGAAAAGCUCAAAUUUAAAAUCUGGCGGUCUUCGAUCGUCCGAGUUGUAGUCUGGAGAAGCGUCUUCCGCGCUGGACCGUGUACAAGUCUCUUGGAACAGAGCGUCGUAGAGGGUGAGAAUCCCGUCUUUGACACGGACUAUCCAGUGCUUUGUGAUGCGCUCUCAAAGAGU
rnacentral:rRNA from 1 species